CCUACGGGAGGCUGCAGUAGGGAAUCUUCCACAAUGGGCGAAAGCCUGAUGGAGCAACGCCGCGUGGGUGAAGAAGGUCUUCGGAUUGUAAAACCCUUUUGUUAGAGAAGAAAGUGCGUGAGAGUAACUGUUCACGUUUCGACGGUAUCUAACCAGAAAGCCACGGCUAACUACGUGCCAGCGGCCUCGGUAAUACGGAGGUGGCAAGCGUUAUCCGGAUUUAUUGGGCGUAAAGGGAACGCAGGCGGUCUUUUAAGUCUGAUGUGAAAGCCUUCGGCUUAACCGGAGUAGUGCAUUGGAAACUGGGAGACUAGAGUGCAGGAGAGGAGAGUGGAACUCCAUGUGUAGGGGUAAAAUGCGUAGAUAUAUGGAAGAACACCAGUGGCGAAAGCGGCUAUCUGGACUGUAACUGACGCUGAGGUUCGAAAGCGUGGGUAGCAAACAGGAUUAGAUACCCGAGUAGUC
rnacentral:rRNA from 1 species